rnacentral:rRNA from 1 species
UACGUAGGGGGCAAGCGUUAUCCGGAUUUAUUGGGCGUAAAGGGAACGCAGGCGGUCUUUUAAGUCUGAUGUGAAAGCCUUCGGCUUAACCGGAGUAGUGCAUUGGAAACUGGGAGACUUGAGUGCAGAAGAGGAGAGUGGAACUCCAUGUGUAGCGGUGAAAUGCGUAGAUAUAUGGAAGAACACCAGUGGCGAAAGCGGCUCUCUGGUCUGUAACUGACACUGAGGUUCGAAAGCGUGGGUAGCAAACAGG